AUUGAACGCUGGCGGCAGGCCUAACACAUGCAAGUCGAACGAGUGGCGGACGGGUGAGUAAUUUCUGGGAACCUGCCUGAUGGAGGGGGAUAACUACUGGAAACGGUAGCUAAUACCGCAAACCAUCAGAUGUGCCCAGAUGGGAUUAGCUAGUUGGUGGGGUAACGGCUCACCAAGGCGACGAGCCCUAGCUGGUCUGAGAGGAUGACCCGCCACACUGGAACUGAGACACGGUCCAGACUCCUACGGGAGGCAGCAGUGGGGAAUAUUGGACAAUGGGCGCAAGCCUGAUGCAGCCAUGCCGCGUGUAUGAAGAAGGCCUUCGGGUUGUAAAGUACUUUCAGCGGGGAGGCGGUACCCGCAGAAGAAGCAACGGCUAACUCCGUGCCAGCAGCCGCGGUAAUAC
rnacentral:rRNA from 1 species